AGCCCAUCCAUCUUGGGAGAUGUUGUCUAAAUACGCAGCAAGGAUGGUCAGAAAUGUAUCACACGAGGCUGGAAUACAACUCAGCGACAGAAUGUCAGCCAGCAAAUUCAAGGCUUUAGGCUCGUUCCACGGUACUAGGGGUGAGGUAAGGGCUGGGAGAGAGGUGGAGGUGUUAUAUUUCAUCAUUGAAUUCCUUAUAAACAGUGUGAUUUUUUUUUCUUCUGGAGUAUUUCUUCUACUAAAUAAUCUGUUCCUAAAAUGGUGACUACAGUGUUAGCUUCUAAAAACUUUAAACUUAACUAGAUUCUUGAUAAUGUAGAGGGACAUUAUUCUUUCCUAGUAUCAUCCAUUUUAACAGAAAAUUGUCAUCUCUUCUGACUAUGCAAUAUUCUCCCUGGAUUUAUUUUCAUUUAUAAUCAGUCUGUAUCUUUGAGUUUAAAUUAUAUUUCAUGUGUGUGUAUUUGCUGAUAUGUCAAAUGGAGGACAGAGACCAGCCUGAGGAAUUGGUUCUCAAACAAACAAACAAUCAAACAAACAAAAAUAACAACAAAACCCAGUUCUUCUGUCUACCAUGUGUUCCUGGGGAUGGCACUUGGGUUGUCAGGUUUGGUGGCAGACUCUUUUACCCUCUGAGCCAUCUCUCUAGCACCAAGUAUAUUUUAUUGUGACUAUCUAAGGUCUACAACAUGAGAUUAUGAAUCAAUACAAAUAGUAAAAUAAAUGGCCACAAACAAGUUAGCAGAUCCAUCACUUUACAGGUGCCCAGUAUGUGUGUGUGUGUGUGUGUGUGUGUGUGUGUGUGUGCUCACAUUGGUCAGGGGGAAGUUGUCUCACAAUGUCAUCUCGGUUAAUCUUGAACUUACUAUUCUCCUGCCUCAACCUAAGCAUUGGUAUUAUAGUCAUAUGCCAUCUGGCUGUUUAUUAUUCUUAGUG
ensembl:processed_transcript A430093F15Rik RIKEN cDNA A430093F15 gene